UACGUAGGGGGCUAGCGUUGUCCGGAAUCAUUGGGCGUAAAGCGCGCGUAGGCGGUCAGGUAAGUCCGGUGUGAAAGUCAAAGGCUCAACCUUUGAAUGCCGCUGGAUACUGCUUGACUUGAGUCCGGAAGGGGCGAGUGGAAUUCCUGGUGUAGCGGUGAAAUGCGCAGAUAUCAGGAAGAACACCCGUGGCGAAGGCGGCUCUCUGGUACGUGACUGACGCUGAGACGCGAAAGCGUGGGGGAGCAAACAGG
rnacentral:rRNA from 1 species